rnacentral:rRNA from 1 species
UACCGAGGGGGCGAGCGUUGUUCGGAAUUACUGGGCGUAAAGGGCGCGUAGGCGGCCCGCUAAGUCGAACGUGAAAUCCCCAGGCUCAACCUGGGAACUGCGUCCGAUACUGGCAGGCUUGAAUCCGGGAGAGGGAUGUGGAAUUCCAGGUGUAGCGGUGAAAUGCGUAGAUAUCUGGAGGAACACCGGUGGCGAAGGCGGCAUCCUGGACCGGUAUUGACGCUGAGGCGCGAAAGCUAGGGGAGCAAACGGG